UACGAAGGGUGCAAGCGUUACUCGGAAUUACUGGGCGUAAAGCGUGCGUAGGUGGUUCGUUAAGUCUGAUGUGAAAGCCCUGGGCUCAACCUGGGAAUGGCAUUGGAAACUGGCGACCUAGAGUGCGGUAGGGGCAGAGGGAAUUUCCGGUGGAGCGGUGAAAUGCGUAGAGAUCGGGAGGAACAUCUGUGGCGAAGGCGGCCAUCUGGACCAGCACUGACACUGAGGCACGAAAGCGUGGGGAGCAAACAGG
rnacentral:rRNA from 1 species